rnacentral:rRNA from 1 species
GGCGUAGAGGGCUCGCAGGCGGUUUCUUAAGUCUGAUGUGAAAGCCCCCGGCUCAACCGGGGAGGGUCAUUGGAAACUGGGGAACUUGAGUGCAGAAGAGGAGAGUGGAAUUCCACGUGUAGCGGUGAAAUGCGUAGAGAUGUGGAGGAACACCAGUGGCGAAGGCGACUCUCUGGUCUGUAACUGACGCUGAGGAGCGAAAGCGUGGGGAGCGAACAGGAUUAGAUACCCUGGUAGUCCACGCCGUAAACGAUGAGUGCUAAGUGUUAGGGGGUUUCCGCCCCUUAGUGCUGCAGCUAACGCAUUAAGCACUCCGCCUGGGGAGUACGGUCGCAAGACUGAAACUCAAAGGAAUUGACGGGGGCCCGCACAAGCGGUGGAGCAUGUGGUUUAAUUCGAAGCAACGCGAAGAACCUUACCAGGUCUUGACAUCCUCUGACAAUCCUAGAGAUAGGACGUCCCCUUCGGGGGCAGAGUGACAGGUGGUGCAUGGUUGUCGUCAGCUCGUGUCGUGAGAUGUUGGGUUAAGUCCCGCAACGAGCGCAACCCUUGAUCUUAGUUGCCAGCAUUCAGUUGGGCACUCUAAGGUGACUGCCGGUGACAAACCGGAGGAAGGUGGGGAUGACGUCAAAUCAUCAUGCCCCUUAUGACCUGGGCUACACACGUGCUACAAUGGACAGAACAAAGGGCAGCGAAACCGCGAGGUUAAGCCAAUCCCACAAAUCUGUUCUCAGUUCGGAUCGCAGUCUGCAACUCGACUGCGUGAAGCUGGAAUCGCUAGUAAUCGCGGAU